ACCAGCUCGUGCCUCUUUUGGAUCGGCAAGCAUGCCAACCAUGCAAGCAUCAAUUGCAUCCUGAUUUUCAACUCUAGAGGCCCUUGCGGCAAGGAGGAGCACAUAUUCUUUAUCUACUCCCUUAGUAAACACUUCAACCAAGCUUCUGUCGACACUCAACUUGUUAAGAGUCAAGGUACCUGUCUUGUCACUGCACAACACAUCCAUUCCAGCCAUUUCUUCAAUAGCAGUCAUUCUCUUGGUGAUGGCACCCUGCUGGGAGAGCCUAUGGGAUCCAAUAGCCAUAGUGACUGACAACACAGUAGGCAUAGCAAUGGGAAUACCACCAAUAAGGAGCACCAAGAGAUUGUCAAUUCCAUCCCUGUACUUCCUGUGCUGGAUUGGAUACAUGACAAUAAUCUCAACCAGCAUACCAAUAGCAAUGGAACAGAUACAGAAGUUUCCUAUGGCUGUUAACACUUUCUGGAAAUGACCAACAUUGUUUGUACUGUCAACAAGGUGUGCUGCCUUGCCAAAGAAAGUGUGAACUCCAGUGGCAAUGACUACAGCUUCAAGCUCACCUUGUUUGCAGGUUGAUCCAGAGAAAACUUCAUCUCCAGGAUUCUUUGUCACAGGAAGAGAUUCUCCUGUAAGGGCAGAUUGAUCAAUCUUUAAAGGAUCACCUUCAAGAAGACGAGCA
rnacentral:misc_RNA from 1 species